AAUAGAUACCCGGGUAGUCCAUGCCGUAAACGUUGGGCACUAGGUGUGGGGCUCAUUCCACGAGUUCCGUGCCGCAGCAAACGCAUUAAGUGCCCCGCCUGGGGAGUACGGCCGCAAGGCUAAAACUCAAAGGAAUUGACGGGGGCCCGCACAAGCGGCGGAGCAUGCGGAUUAAUUCGAUGCAACGCGAAGAACCUUACCAAGGCUUGACAUGCACGGGAAGCCACCAGAGAUGGUGGUCUCUUUGGACACUCGUGCACAGGUGGUGCAUGGUUGUCGUCAGCUCGUGUCGUGAGAUGUUGGGUUAAGUCCCGCAACGAGCGCAACCCUCGUCCCAUGUUGCCAGCGGGUUAUGCCGGGGACUCAUGGGAGACUGCCGGGGUCAACUCGGAGGAAGGUGGGGAUGACGUCAAAUCAUCAUGCCCCUUAUGUCUUGGGCUUCACGCAUGCUACAAUGGCCGGUACAAAGGGCUGCGAUACCGUAAGGUGAGCGAAUCCCAAAAAGCCGGUCUCAGUUCGGAUUGGGGU
rnacentral:rRNA from 1 species